AUGAACGCUGGCGGCGUGCCUAAUACAUGCAAGUCGAGCGAACAGAUGAGGAGCUUGCUCCUCUGACGUUAGCGGCGGACGGGUGAGUAACACGUGGAUAACCUACCUAUAAGACUGGGAUAACUUCGGGAAACCGGAGCUAAUACCGGAUAAUAUAUUGAACCGCAUGGUUCAAUAGUGAAAGACGGUUUUGCUGUCACUUAUAGAUGGAUCCGCGCCGCAUUAGCUAGUUGGUAAGGUAACGGCUUACCAAGGCAACGAUGCGUAGCCGACCUGAGAGGGUGAUCGGCCACACUGGAACUGAGACACGGUCCAGACUCCUACGGGAGGCAGCAGUAGGGAAUCUUCCGCAAUGGGCGAAAGCCUGACGGAGCAACGCCGCGUGAGUGAUGAAGGUCUUCGGAUCGUAAAACUCUGUUAUUAGGGAAGAACAAAUGUGUAAGUAACUAUGCACGUCUUGACGGUACCUAAUCAGAAAGCCACGGCUAACCACGUG
rnacentral:rRNA from 1 species